UUCCAACUUGAGAAAUUAAAAAAAACUUUAUUUGAAUUUUAAAGAUGAAUUUGUGCCUAUAUACAAAUUAAAUAAUUCAAAUAAUUAAUUACAUAUUACACAGAUAACAAAUAAUUUCCAGCCUUCUAAUAAACAACAAGUUAUUAACUUUUCCCUAUAAAAAUUGUUGUCUACGGGUGAGUGGGAUCUCCAUUGGACCCUGGCGCAGGGUUGUUUGAAAGCAAUUGCCAAAGAAGCCCAUAUUCCCUUGACCACUCACGAUGUAAUGACAACGGUCUACAAGCUACUCCAGAUUGAGGAGAAGCAAUAAAAAUGGUGACCAAUAUCAACAUAAAUUGCACAAAUGUGAAGAGGAUCUUUCUAUAAGAGAAAUCCAUAUGUAUAUUGAGUAUCUUUUUUCCCAAGAAACUUAAUAAGACAAAUUAAAAUAGAAAAAAGAAAAUGCUAGCUCUUUUUUGUAUUUUGGGCUAAUUCAAUUAUUUUGGUAUAUAGAAGUGCAAUAUUAAUGAGUUUG
rnacentral:lncRNA from 1 species